rnacentral:rRNA from 1 species
CCUACGGGAGACAGCAGUGGGGGAUAUUGCACAAUGGGGGGAACCCUGCUGCAGCGACGCCGCGUGGGUGCAGAAGCGCCUCGGCGCGUAAAGCCCUGUCAGCAGGGAAGAAAAUGACGGUACCUGAAGAAGAAGCCCCGGCUAACUACGUUCCAGCAGCCGCGGUAAUACGUAGGUGGCAAGCGUUAUCCGGAUUUACUGGGUGUAAAGGGAGUGUAGGCGGGACUGCAAGUCAGAUGUGAAAACGACGGGCUCAACCUGUGGCCUGCAUUUGAAACUGUAGUUCUUGAGUACUGGAGAGGCAGACGGAAUUCCUAGUGUAGCGGUGAAAUGCGUAGAUAUUAGGAGGAACACCAGUGGCGAAGGCGGUCUGCUGGACAGCAACUGACGCUGAGGCGCGAAAGCGUGGGGAGCAAACAGGAUUAGAUACCCGUGUAGUC